UACAGAGGGGGCAAGCGUUGUUCGGAAUUACUGGGCGUAAAGGGCGCGUAGGCGGCCUGUUAAGUCGAACGUGAAAUCCCCGGGCUCAACCCGGGAACUGCGUCCGAUACUGGCAGGCUUGAAUCCGGGAGAGGGAUGCGGAAUUCCAGGUGUAGCGGUGAAAUGCGUAGAUAUCUGGAGGAGCAUCCGUGGCGAAGGCGGCCACCUGGACCAACAUUGACGCUAAGGCACGAAAGCGUGGGGAGCAAACAGG
rnacentral:rRNA from 1 species